ensembl:lncRNA
GUUUCUAAUCCUUAGGGCACAAAGCCCUGGAGGCUCAGGUUCUCCUGUUGGGUCCUGUGGUCUUGCAUUGCUUUGCUGCUUAGUCACUCAGUCGUGUUCAAUCAUUUACAACCCCAAGGACUGUCGCCUGCCAGGCUCCUCAGUCCAUGGGCUUCUCCAGGCAAGAACACUGGAGUGGGUUGCCGUUUUCUCCUCCAGGGAAUCUUCCUGACCCUGGGACUGAACCUGCAUCUCCUGUGGCUCCUGCAUUGCAGGCCCUGAAACAAUUUGCUUAAAGUGAUAGUUACCUCUAAUGAAAAGAUACAUAACGGAAAAUGUCAGCAACCUUUUAAAUCCUCCACAACUUAUCAUGAAGACCGUCUUGUGCAAAGUGCUCGUGGUGAAGCAACUUCUUUUGUCUCCGAUUCCUCCUAAAUUAGGUGGAUUCUUUACCAGCUGACCUACCAUGGAGAGAAAUUGCAGCUUGCCCUCCGUCUCCUAUUGCUGAUGAUCCUUCAGUUCUACCAUCUCCCGGUUCCUGUCCCUCCUCUAGUCUGUAACUCUUCUUGCCUGUUCAGCCCCUUAUUACCAGCAGUUGUACUGUACUACUGUACUUUUCAGGGUACUGUACGAUUAAAAUGUUUUAAUUUUUUGUUCAUUUUAAUGUAUUAUUUGCAUGAAAAGCAUUGUACACCUAUUACAGAACAGUACUAUAUAGCCACUUGUGUUAGUUGGGAACCCAGGCUAAGUUUGUUGGACUUAAUGAUCAAACCAGACUCACUAACCCUCUCUCUGAAUGGAACUCUUUCAUAUGUAGGGGACUCACUGUAUUUGCAAAGAUAUGGGCAGG